rnacentral:lncRNA from 1 species
UUUCUUUCAACAGUGAUUUAUAUUUUUUUGUGUGAUGUUCUUGCACAUAUCUGAUUGUUUAUCCCUAAAUAAUUAUUGCUUUGAUGCUAUUAUAAGCUUUUUUCAAACUCUACUUUUCAUUUGUUAUUACGGGUAUACAAAAAUGCAGUGGAUUCUCCCCCCUUUUUUAAAUUUAUAUCCUUUGACCUUAGUAAAUUCACUUAUUAGUUCUGAUGCAUUUUUGUAGAUUCCUUGAGAUUUCCUGUAGAUCAUUGUGUUAUCUGCAACUAAGGACACUUCUACUUCUUCCUUUACUAUCUGUAUAACUUUUCUUUCCUUCCCCCCUCCUUUUUGCACUGGCUAUGUCUGUAGUAAAACAUUGAGUAGAUGAGGCAAGAGUGAGCAUUCUUGGAUUGUUCCUGAUCUUAGGAGGAAAUUGUUCAGUCUUUCACCAUUAAAUAUGUUAGCUCUGUGUUUUCAUAAAUGUCUUUUGGCUAAUUAAGGCAGUUAACUUGAAUCUCAAGUUUGCUGCAAUUUUAUGUCAUUCAUAUUUUUAAAUAUAAACUGCAUGUGGGAUAAUCAUUUGCUUAGGUACAUGUACAGGAGCAAAGAGCUUAUUCGAAGUAAGAGGGAGUGUAUUCGAAAGUUGAAAGAAGAAAUAAAAGUUCUGCAGCAAAAACUGGAAAGGUCAGGGAGCAGAGGCAGAACUUUGCUUGGCAGCCCAGGGAAGACCCUGCACCUGUGGGCGCCCCUCCCCAACUCCAUCCCUCUCACUUAGGAAGACCUUCUCCAAGAGGUGUUGUGACCCAUCAUCUGGUUGUCUUAAUAUCGACUUCAGCUGAAGACCGAUGCCUCAGGUACUGUCCUGGAAGUGAUUUACAGGACUUUAUACCUGCGGCAGUAUUUCACUUUUAAGGUUUGAGUGAUACUUCAUAAGGCUGGAAAUUUUUAAUUGUUUUUAUACAAUCAGAUAUACCCGAUGUAUGAAAGCUCAAGAAAAGCCAGUAACUGACAAGGAUCUAAGGAAUAGCAGAGUUCUUCAGAGUUUCCCCAGCCUUAUGUAUUGAACAUCCUUUCCAGUGAAAGCUAACUCCCUCUGGCAGGCGCAUCCACAGGAGAAAUCAUUGUUUCUCCUCCAAAUUAGAGAAGAUAAAGUGUCUUCGCUGCUUACCCUCUAACAUGUGGUUGCUUUUGAGUCAUCGUGUUAUAAGAAGACAGUUUUCCUUCUUCCUAGUUCUAUGUCCGUGUCCUUCACUUUAUUCAGAGAAGAAACUUAUGAAAUGACUCUAUCCUUUUGUAAAGGGAAUCCCAGAAUUAUAGCAUUUACCUGUGCCAAUGAGUCAACUUAAUGGCUAUACCGUUUAGACUCUGUCUCCUGCUGUGAACCAGAAAGGAUUCACCCCUGACUCAAGGUGAUUUUUUCCUUCUUAGGGCCGCCCCUGCAGCAUAUGAAAGUUCCCGGACUAGGGUUUGAAUCAGAGCUGCAGCC